rnacentral:rRNA from 1 species
AAUUUGAAAUCUGGCCUCUUCGGGGUCCGAGUUGUAAUUUGUAGAGAGUGCUUCGGGUGAGACCGCGGUCUAAGUCCAUUGGAACAUGGCGUCCCAGAGGGUGAGAAUCCCGUAUGCGACCGUGGCUCGAGCCCAUGUGAAGCCUCUUCGACGAGUCGAGUUGUUUGGGAAUGCAGCUCUAAAUGGGUGGUAAAUUUCAUCUAAAGCUAAAUACUGGCUGGAGACCGAUAGCGCACAAGUAGAGUGAUCGAAAGAUGAAAAGCACUUUGGAAAGAGAGUUAAACAGUACGUGAAAUUGUUGAAAGGGAAGCGCUUGCAACCAGACCUGCCCGUAGGCGAUCAACCGCUGUUCUCAGCGGUGCACUCGUUCUGCGAUCAGGCCAGCAUCGGUUCGGGCGGCCGGAUAAAGGCCUUGGGAAUGUAGCUCCCUUUCGGGGGAGUCUUAUAGCCCUCGGUGCAAUGCGGCCAGCCGGGACCGAGGACCGCGCUUCGGCUAGGAUGCUGGCGUAAUGGUUGUAAGCGACCC